rnacentral:rRNA from 1 species
AGUGAACGCUGGCGGUAGGCCUAACACAUGCAAGUCGAACGGCAGCACAGUAAGAGCUUGCUCUUACGGGUGGCGAGUGGCGGACGGGUGAGGAAUACAUCGGAAUCUACUUUUUCGUGGGGGAUAACGUAGGGAAACUUACGCUAAUACCGCAUACGACCUACGGGUGAAAGCAGGGGAUCUUCGGACCUUGCGCGAUUGUAUGAGCCGAUGUCGGAUUAGCUAGUUGGCGGGGUAAAGGCCCACCAAGGCGGCGAUCCGUAGCUGGUCUGAGAGGAUGAUCAGCCACACUGGAACUGAGACACGGUCCAGACUCCUACGGGAGGCAGCAGUGGGGAAUAUUGGACGAUGGGCGCAAGCCUAAUCCAGCCAUACCGCGUGAGUGAAGAAGGCCUUCGGGUGGUAAAGCCCUUUUGUUGGGAAAGAAAAGCAGCAGGUUAAUACCCCGCUGUUCUGACGGUACCCAAAGAAUAAGCACCGGCUAACUUCGUG